CGCUAUCACUCCUACGGGAGGCAGCAGUGGGGAAUAUUGGACAAUGGGCGCAAGCCUGAUCCAGCCAUACCGCGUGGGUGAAGAAGGCCUUCGGGUUGUAAAGCCCUUUUGUUGGGAAAGAAAUCCAGCCGGCUAAUACCUGGUUGGGAUGACGGUACCCAAAGAAUAAGCACCGGCUAACUUCGUGCCAGCAGCCGCGGUAAUACGAAGGGUGCAAGCGUUACUCGGAAUUACUGGGCGUAAAGCGUGCGUAGGUGGUCGUUUAAGUCCGUUGUGAAAGCCCCUGGGCUCAACCUGGGAACUGCAGUGGAUACUGGGCGACUAGAGUGUGGUAGAGGGUAGCGGAAUUCCUGGUGUAGCAGUGAAAUGCGUAGAGAUCAGGAGGAACAUCCAUGGCGAAGGCAGCUACCUGGACCAACACUGACACUGAGGCACGAAAGCGUGGGGAGCAAACAGGAUUAGAUACCCUGGUAG
rnacentral:rRNA from 1 species